rnacentral:antisense_RNA from 1 species
AUUAACCAGAAAUGAGGAGCAGAGCCUGGGGGAGGCUGGAAGCUGGGGACGCAGGGAGGGACAGAGACUAAGAGACAGUGAGAUACCAAGAUAGGGAGAGCCACGUGAUAGACGGGAGCGAGGAGAAAGAGACCAAGAGACCGUGAGGGAGUCAGAGCCACCCCGCCACCCCCCUGCAGUGACCAAGUUGGCCCUGGCAGAGGGAGGGGUGUCUCUGGAGAGCUCCCAGCUGGAGGCGGGGUUUCUCCAUGUUGCCCAAGCUGGUCUUGAACUCCCGACCUCAAGUGAUCUGCCUGCCCCGGCCUCCCAAAGUGCUGGAAUCACAAGCGUGAGCCACCGCACCUGGCCCUUCCUCUGAGGCCUUCGUCUCCAAGAAUCCAGCAAAGUGACAAUAAUGCAAAUAAUGUCACUAAAGGGCCAGCACCACAGAAGAAAUCUCACUGGAACUCCUGACUUCAAGUGUGACCUUGAAUCUCACUGAGCUCUCAGAUGUAACUGCCAGUUCCCCAAAAUGUGAGGAACUGAGAAACAGGCUGAAGAGCAGUGGCACGAUCUUGGCUCACU